ACUAGACCUAGAGCUGCAUUCAUGUCUUUAUUCUUUUGUGCAACAGAGAGACUCCAAAGUUAAACCUCAAAAGAUUUUUAACAGUCCUGUAAACCCGGUAGGCGCGUGCAGAACCAAUCUUGUUUGCAAAUCAAGAUUGCAAACAAUCGUGAUUUGGGUCGAACCUGGACGAACCUUGGCGGACAUGAUGGUAAAGCCACAGACGGCCCCAGUGACGGACAGCGGGAUGAGUCCGCACAGAGGCGGCAGAAACAACACAGCUGUUUCAGACACGUGUCUGAAACAUUUCAGGAAGGUCUCGACUCUGAGAGCUCAUCAAUACAUUCAUGCUGGAGAAAAGCCCUGUAGCUGUGACCAAUGUGAGAAGAGGUUCAGACAUCCUUCAUUACGGAAGAAUCACUCUUCCCCACCUUCUUCAAAUUAGACAAAUUUGGUGUCUAUCAA